GGAAUUCAGUCCGCNUGUGCGGCGUCGGCGCCGGUCGCGCAUCCCUCGUGGGAGCGCGCCGGCGUCCGNAUCGACGUGCGGCGGCCGUACUUUCGGCGGGCGGAGCGCCACGACCGGUUCGUCGGCGGCGAGAAACUCCCGGGCAAGGUGACCUUCGUCUCGGCGCAGGAGCAUACAGGCCCGGUGAGCGUCGGCCCGUCGGCGGACCGAGGAAGACCGUCGCGGAGCGGCGUCGACCGCCCGUCGUGUGGACGCGUUCGACUCGGGGGGACUGGUUCCAGUGCCCUCGGACCGCGCGAUCGCAGCGGCGGGACGGCCCGGCGUCGCGCCUGGGGUCGGUGGCGAAACGGCCGGCAACCUGUCCGACCCGUCUUGAAACACGGACCAAGGAGUCUAACAUGUGCGCGAGUCGUUGGGCGCUACGAAACCCGAAGGCGCAAUGAAAGUGAAGGCCCGGUCUCGUGCCGGCCUGGGUGGGAUCCGGGCGGCCUCGGCCGUCCGGCGCACCACCGGCCCGUCUCGUUCGCCGCGUCGAAGAGGCGGAGCAAGAGCGUACACGUUGGGACCCGAAAGAUGGUGAACUAUGCCCGAGUAGGACGAAGCCAGAGGAAACUCUGGUGGAGGUCCGCAGCGAUUCUGACGUGCAAAUCGAUCGUCAAACUUGGGUAUAGGGGGGAAAGAUUAAUCGGACCAUCUGAUACCCUUUUGUCCCCUCUGUUCCUCCUAAAG
rnacentral:rRNA from 1 species